UGAAUACGAGACGCUAAGGCGUCGAAGUAGUGUAUGUCAUACUUCCAAGAAAAGCUUGCACUGUCAUAGAUAAAAAACGCUUGUACCAUAACCGACACAGGUGGGUAGGUAGAGUAUACUAAGGGGCGCGAGAUAACUCUCUCUAAGGAACUCGGCAAAAUGACUCCGUAACUUCGGGAGAAGGAGUGCCUUAUUCUUAAGGUUGCAAUAACAAGAUCCAAGCAACUGUUUAUCAAAAACACAGGUCUCCGCUAAGUCGUAAGACGAUGUAUGGGGGCUGACGCCUGCCCAGUGCCAGAAGGUUAAAGAAGUUGGUUAGCAUUUGCGAAGCUGAUAACUGAAGCCCUGGUGAACGGCGGCCGUAACAAUAACGGUCCUAAGGUAGCGAAAUUCCUUGUCGGGUAAGUUCCGACCCGCACGAAAGGCGUAAUGAUUUGGAUACUGUCUCGGAGAGGGGCUCGGUGAAAUAGACUUGUCUGUGAAGAUGCGGACUACCUGCACCAGGACAGAAAGACCCUAUGAAGCUUUACUGUAACUUGAAAUUGAAAUUGGACUUUAUUCGCGCAGUAUAGGUGGGAGGCGUUGAUUAUAAUCUUGCGGGAUUAUUGGAGCCAUCAGUGAGAUACCACCCUUGUAAUGUUAGAUUUCUAACUUUGAAUCAUUAUCUGGUCAAAGAACAGUUUCAGGCGGGCAGUUUGACUGGGGCGGUCGCCUCCUAAACGGUAACGGAGGCGUACAAAGGUUUCCUCUGAACGGUUAGAAAUCGUAUCUAGAGUGUAAAGGCAUAAGGAAGCUUGACUGUGAGACCUACAAGUCGAGCAGGGACGAAAGUCGGUCUUAGUGAUCUGACGGUACUGAGUGGAAAGGCCGUCACUCAACGGAUAAAAGUUACUCUAAGGAUAACAGGCUGAUCUCCCCCAAGAGUUCACAUCGACGGGGAGGUUUGGCACCUCGAUGUCGGCUCAUCGCAUCCUGGGGCGGUAGUACGUCCCAAGGGUUGGGCUGUUCGCCCAUGAAAGCGGUACGCGAGCUGGGUUCAGAACGUCGUGAGACAGUUCGGUCCAUAUCCGGUGUAGGCGUUAGAAUAUUGAGAGGAGCCUUCUUUAGUACGAGAGGACCGAGAAGGACAUACCUCUGGUGUACCAGUUAUCGUGCCAACGGUAAACGCUGGGUAGCUAUGUAUGGAGUGGAUAACCGCUGAAAGCAUCUAAGUGGGAAGCCCACCUCAAGAUAAG
rnacentral:rRNA from 1 species